rnacentral:rRNA from 1 species
UACAGAGGUGGCAAGCGUUGUUCGGAAUUACUGGGCGUAAAGGGCGCGUAGGCGGUCUUGUAAGUCUCGUGUGAAAUCCCUCGGCUUAACUGAGGAACUGCACGGGAUACUGCGAGACUUGAGUUCGGGAGAGGGAAGCGGAAUUCCGGGUGUAGCGGUGAAAUGCGUAGAUAUCCGGAGGAACACCGGUGGCGAAGGCGGCUUCCUGGACCGAUUACUGACGCUGAGGCGCGAAAGCUAGGGGAGCGAACGGG